AGUGAAUAGAUACCCGGGUAGUCCCAGCUGUAAACGAUGCGCGUUAGGUGUAUCGGUGACCACGAGUCACCGAGGUGCCGAAAGAGAAAUCGUGAAACGUGCCGCCUGGGAAGUACGGUCGCAAGGCUGAAACUUAAAGGAAUUGGCGGGGGAGCACCACAACAGGUGGAGCCUGCGGUUUAAUUCGGACUCAACGCCGGGAAACGUCACCAGAUAAGACAGCUGAAUGAUAGUCGGGCUGAAGACUCUACUUGACUAGCUGAGAGGAGGUGCAUGGCCGUCGUCAGUUCGUACUGUGAAGCAUCCUGUUAAGUCAGGCAACGAGCGAGACCCACGCCAACAGUUGCCAGCUCGUCCUCCGGGAUGGAGGGGUACGACUGUUGGGACCGGCCUCGGCUAAACGAGGAGGAAGGAAUGGGCAACGGUAGGUCAGCAUGCCCCGAACUUAUCUGGGCGUACACGCGGGCUACAAUGGGUGGGUACAAU
rnacentral:rRNA from 1 species